GAGCAGCAGCAAGGCCUGAGGGUGCCGGUGCGGGGCUGUCCCGGGCCGACCCGGGCGGCUGCGGCCGAGGCUGAGGCCUCCUUCCCCCGCCGCCGCCCCGCUCGCGUCCCGCCUGUGCCACCGCCCCGGGGCGGGGGGAGCCGCCUGCCGCGGCCCAUAAAGCGCGGCCGGGGCCUGCCGGAGCUGCCAGCGGAGCGGGGUCCCCUUUCUGCCUCUCGACCGCCGCUGUCCCUGGGACACGCAGGUGAGCCGCAGGGCCGGGCCAGCGGCCCCGCUCCCCGAGCCGGGCGCAUCCUUCCCCCCGGCACAGCGCAUCCUUUCCCCCGCAGGCUCGCCCCGGAGAAAGCCGGAUUCCCCUGGAGUCGCUGCCAUGGCCUCCGUCCCCUCCGCCGGCUGCCUCCUGGCCAAGAACCAGUACUACAGGACAAGACUGAACUCGGAAUCCAGCGUUUCUUCUGGCUCUUCCUGCUGUUUGGAUGCUGUGAACGUCACAGAGCAGGACAAAGCAAUGAAUGGUUUACCAGAGUUAGUUGAUAAAUAUUGGUGGAUAAAAAGCUUCUUCCAUAGCGAACCUUCUCCACCAACUGUUGGAAGAAAAACACUCUCAGCAAGCAGGUGAGUCCUGUUUUUAAAACAGUGGGGAUUACUUACUUGCUCUGCUUUCCUUUUGGUAAAAGUGUUUGUAAACAAGUCAUGAUCAGCUAAAGCCAUCUGGUGGGGUGCAAUGCUGUUUUGAUGAUUUAAGUCAACUGUACAUCAAGUGUAAGGCUAUAGAACCUCUCCAUGUUUUCAUUUUAAAAAAUGAACUCAUAUGCUGCUUCACAUUAUGCAGGUGGUAGUGCCUAAUACUGUUUCACUGUUAUGGUGAUGUUUAUUUAAUCAUCUACCCAUAGAACUUGCACAACCAUUUAUAGUGUUUGGCCAGUUUAUUUUAUGUUAAAAAGAUGAAAUGAAUGCAUUCAAAAAUAUUUAGUCAAAUAUUUUACAUCAAAUAUAUUUGAGGUAAAUACAAUGAAAAUUCCAUUUAUAACCUUUUUAUAUAUAUUUCUGCAGUACCAACAGUUGAAAAGGACAGCGUGAUGGCUUUUCUGACUGAGAUGCUACAUACAGACUUGUUUUUCCAAGAGGCUUGGGGUCUUCCUAAUGUCUGGGUUCAGCUGCAAGAAGAAAACAAAACCUUUAGGAGAGUGGAAAAGCGUAUUUUCAAAAUAUUUGUCAGUAGCUAAAAUGAUAUUGCUUAAUGGACAUAUCCAUGGCCUACCGUGUUCUUUCCAGAUUUGCAAUAAUUUGUGAUGUUUCUCUAAUGGAAGUUUCAAGGACUAAACAUCCUGAUGACUUACUUGAAUAAUUAGAGAAAAGUGACAGUAAAAAUAAGACGUCAUAGGUUUAGGAGGAAGAUGCGUGAUUCAGUUAAGUUGCCUUCAAGAUACCAGCUCUUUAGGCAGUCACACUGAUGUAAACAGGAUUCAGACCUAUAAUCCAGAGCAGGACUGCUGUGUGGCACUUGUAUCCAGUAUUUAUGUACCAGUUACAGGGGUAAGUUUACAAGAAUGCUUGUCAAUAACUUUUUUUAAAAUUUUUUUAAAAACUCCAAUUAUAUGAACAAGCAAUAAUCAGUUUGGUUUCUUUGAUCAAGCAGAGUGCAUAGAUCCCAACUUCUACAAGUACCCAUGUACCACUUUCAUUCCUACCUAUGGAUGCUGGUAUUUGAGGACAGAAUAGAGGAGAUGCACAAGAAACCAGUAAUCCUAAUAGAAACUGACCUCUUCCAAGGGGAAGAGCAGCCUUAAUCAGUUGAUACUUCUAGUUAGAUUUUUUCUGCCUGUUUUGUUGUGGCUUAAAGAUCUACUUGUUCCUAAGUGACUAAUUCUAUAAAUAUUCUGCUGUCUAUCUUACUAGUUAUGAGGGCUAGAUCUGGCAAAGGAUUCCACUCAAAGUAAUCACAUUCUUGUUGUUAUCCAAGUGUACCUUUGACAUGCUCUUGAAAGGUACUAUAACAUUGCAGUGCUGAAGAUUAAAUGAAGCUAAUUAGUAUAACGAUUGUUUAUUCUACUGGCCAUGACUGAAAUGCAUCAAGGAUUAUGGAAAAUAGCAAGUAUUUGGCUGGAUGAUAACAUUUGUGACAAGUAUCUAUGCAACUUUUUGAUGAACUAUCACUAAACCUGCUGGAUAUUUGUUCAUCACUGGAUGAACUAACAGUAGCAAACAUUUACGUAGCCAGCAUCUUUUUAUUAUAGGUUAAUGGUUGUCAUGGUUAUGCAUAACUCCAAGGUGUAUGAAGUGGCUGCUUCAGGGCGUUUACAGUCUUGAUGGAGGCAAUAAAUGCAUGGCAGAUGACA
rnacentral:lncRNA from 1 species